rnacentral:lncRNA from 1 species
AAAAAUAUAUAUAGGUCAUCGUGUUUGUUUUCGAGAUAUUAGCCAUUGAAAUUUUGGCGGAAAAUAUUCUCUCUUGACUUUUCAUAGCUUUAUCAUUGACACGUUGAAGUUCUCAAAAACUGUUCAAAAGUAAUUAAAAUUUUAUAAGACUUUUACAGAUGGCUUAUCAUUAUACAUGUACAAGAUUUACAAAAACAAAAAUGGGGGUCAACGGGCA